GACGAACGCUGGCGGCGUGCUUAACACAUGCAAGUCGAACGGGAUUUAGUAGACGGAAACCUCGGUGGAAGAUUACUAAUGAGAGUGGCGAACGGGUGAGUAACGCGUGAGCAACCUGCCUAUGACAGUGGGAUAGCCUCGGGAAACCGGGAUUAAUACCGCAUAAAAUCGUAGAAACACAUGUUUCAACGGUCAAAGAUUUAUCGGUCGUAGAUGGGCUCGCGUCUGAUUAGCUAGUUGGUGAGAUAACAGCCCACCAAGGCGACGAUCAGUAGCCGGUCUGAGAGGAUGAACGGCCACAUUGGAACUGAGACACGGUCCAAACUCCUACGGGAGGCAGCAGUGGGGAAUAUUGCACAAUGGGGGAAACCCUGAUGCAGCGACGCCGCGUGAACGAAGAAGGUAUUCGUAUCGUAAAGUUCUGUCCUAUGGGAAGAUAAUGACAGUACCAUAGAAGAAAGCUCCGGCUAAAUACGUGCCAGCCGCCGCCGUAACAC
rnacentral:rRNA from 1 species